rfam:Sulfobacillus thermosulfidooxidans strain ZBY contig7, whole genome shotgun sequence.
CGAGCUAACAAGAUGACCGCGGGUGCUAAUCCGAAAGGUGGCAUCUGAGGAAAGUCCGAGCUGCAUAGAGCAGGGUGCUGGAUAACGUCCAGUGGGGGCGACCCUAAGGAAAGUGCCACAGAAAACAAACCGCCAAGGUUACUCUUGGUAAGGAUGAAACGGUGCGGUAAGAGCGCACCAGAAGUCAGGUGACUGACUUGCUUGGUAAACCCCACCCGCAGCAAGACCGAAUAGGGGCAGGAUGAGGUUGCUCGCUGACUGUCCGGGUAGGUCGCUGGAGGCGUCAGGUAACUGGCGUCCAAGAUAAAUGGUCAUCCUCGACAGAACUCGGCUUAUUAGUUAACUCGCAUC